rnacentral:lncRNA from 1 species
CCGCGACCUGCCGAAGCCAGAACCGCCCCCCGCCCCCUCCCCAACGGCCGCGCGGGGGCGGGGGCGGCACGGGGGCGGCGCGCGCCGCGCGGGGAGCCGUUACCACAGAGCCGUUACCGCUCGGCCGUUACAAGCGGCCGCCGGCAGCGCGGUUCCUCGAGGUAAAUCGCGCUUCUGCCACGCGUGAUUUUCAAAUGUUACUGUCGCCGCUGCUUUAGAGAGCCCUCAGAAGGUCGCCGCCGGGUGACAGUCCCUGCAAGGCUGUGCCUAGCCCUUCACACAGCGCCAGGUGAAACGGCGGCGCGCGACGUGACACGGUUUGAGGUCCAAGGCAAGCCAGGGUUUGUUGGUUGAAGUAGUACAGUAGGACUGCUGCCGACAAGGUAGUUUUUGCCAAAAUGACCCAGAAGCAAAGGCAAUGCACAGGCUGAUAAAUUCACAUAAACCUCACUCAUUAUUUUGACAUCUUUCGCCCAACAGUGGAAAACAGUUUAGACAGCUUGUAAUGAAGAACCUUGUAUUAGAUAAAAGGUACCCAAAAUGAUAUAUGUUUGCAUUACAAAGAAGGGAGAGUGAAAAUGAUUGUAAACACAAGCAAAGUUCUAAGAAGAUCGACAACGAUACAUUGACUCUUCCGAAAACAGCAAGAGAUACAUUUUUUCUCUGCUACUAUUAUGCAGACUGACCUAUCUGCAGUGAAUGUUCAGAGAUAAUCUGGGAGCAGCAGGAAGGGAAGGCGAGCCAGAAGCCGAUGGGCGCCCACAACACCGGCAGGGCAGUGACCUCACCGACUAAGGUGAGGACCCGAGCAAGGCGAGCAGGGCAGGGCUGGUAACAGUGACCAGAGUCAGCCACAGCCCAGUAAUCGCUGAACAAGUCCGUAGUGAUGAGACAGGUCCAAGGUCAAGCCAGGAAGUCAAGUCAGUGGGACAAGGUCAAGAUCUGCAAGGUCUAAUUUCACUGUACAAUGUGUAAAUUGAAAAUAGAGUUUUUCACUGAAAUCAUUCUGACCUAGUCUGAGCAAAAGUAUGGUUUGUCCAGCCAUGGUACCUUAACUUUACAGUCUCCUGAAGGGAUAGGCUUCAGGCACAGUUUCUCUACAGGUAGUUUGCACUGGUAGCACUUACCCACUUUCCCACAUUUUCAUAGGCUGGUACAUAUAUAAUUACAUUCACACUUCAGAUCUGUUAUACUUUUUUUUUUUAUCCAAGUACAGUGGUACAAGUUUUAUGCGUAAAAAAGUAUUUUUAAGUCUCUUUUCCAUAGCCUUGCUUUCAGUUACCUCCUGCCUGCAACUCAUCUUGUAAGGAAGGGAAGUAUCAGACUGCUUCAUUAUCUCUAGAUAGGUAAUAUAAGUAGAAGAGUCAUAAGUGUUCUUAAGAAGAAUUAAACAAUUUUUUUAGUCAUUAAUAAUAAGUAAAUAAUCAUAGAGUUGGUAAGAAUUGAAGAUCUAGUGUAUUCCAGCAUUAUUUUUGAAUAACCACAGACCUAGCUGCUUCUAGCUUCAUUGGCAGGCAUGAAACACCUUUUUUCACUAAAGAUGUAAGGACCCAUUUUACCAGGCAUGGGGUUGAAAGCACAAACUCAGAUUAACAGCAUAACUUUACCAUCUGAUAAAGCUAGCAAGCUCUUAUAUUAUAUGCUAAUCAGCUAGCUGAAGGAGAUACAAAAUAUUUGGCCAGAUAAAAUAUGCACAAAGAAACAUAUAUAAAGAAACUAUUAAUAAAAACACAUUUUUUCAAAAUCA